UACGUAGGGUGCAAGCGUUAAUCGGAAUUACUGGGCGUAAAGCGUGCGCAGGCGGCUUUGCAAGACAGAUGUGAAAUCCCCGGGCUCAACCUGGGAACUGCAUUUGUGACUGCAUGGCUGGAGUGCGGCAGAGGGGGAUGGAAUUCCGCGUGUAGCAGUGAAAUGCGUAGAUAUGCGGAGGAACACCGAUGGCGAAGGCAGCCCCCUGGGAUAACACUGACGCUCAUGCACGAAAGCGUGGGGAGCAAACAGG
rnacentral:rRNA from 1 species